UACGUAGGGAGCAAGCGUUGUCCGGAAUCAUUGGGCGUAAAGGGCGCGUAGGCGGCUUGAUAAGUAGGGGGUGAAAUCCUGUGGCUUAACUGCAGGGCUGCCUCCUAGACUGUCUGGCUUGAGCACGGUAGAGGCAGAUGGAAUUCCCGGUGUAGCGGUGGAAUGCGUAGAGAUCGGGAAGAACAUCGGUGGCGAAGGCGGUCUGCUGGGCCGUUGCUGACGCUGAGGCGCGACAGCGUGGGGAGCAAACAGG
rnacentral:rRNA from 1 species